UAGAAAAUUUUCUUUUUAUUUCCUGGCAUCUGAAACAAGAAUAAACACAUUGAGAUAUCCUAGAAAUAUAAUGGGCAGUUCUCUGUGUUGAAGCUGAUACACAGCUGAUGGUGCUAGAAGCAUUUGCCAUGCAUGGACCGAAGAUGUAAUUUUGGACAGAACUCGCCUCUACCAAUCCAUUCCAAAUGCUGCCAGUAAAAACUUACGGCUUCAGUUCUUAGGGCCUCUACCAAAAGAAGCAAAGAUAAAACAUCAGCUGAAGUGACCAUUCAGAAACAAUCUCAUCCAGACUCUCACUGUAGAUGCCUCCUGCCGUUUCCUAUGUGUGGUUCCUACAGAGCUGUAACACCAGAGGUACUUCUGCAGUGAAAAGGGAAAAGUGCAAAAGAGCAGGGAGGGAAAUGAAACAGUAAAAGGAGGUCCUUCAUGGCCCUCGAUGCUUCCCAAGGUUCCUUUGGCAAUGGCACUGAGUCCCAUGGCUGGGUGUGGCUGAUGCAGCAGAUAGAACCACCCUGCUACCAGACUUACAUUCCACUUUAGCAGGGCAGACACAUAUCAAGAUCAAACAGCUUUCACUUGAGGAAUAACUACUGGAUCCUCCCUGAAGGGAAACAUGUCUAUUCUCCUGAUUUGUUAUACUCCUUGACACAGAGGUCUUGAUACAGUACCCACUAAGCCAUAGGGAAUGUCCUCUCUUCUGGAAAAUUAUUUGAUUCAUGACUCUAGGAAAGAGGUUCAAAUAAAACAUACAAACCACACCAAUGUUACAUUACAUUUAUUUAAAAAUCAGCAUUUUAUAUUACAGAUUAAUUUAAUAUUCCCCAACUGUUUUGGUUUUAAAUAAAAUAAAUUUAUUACAGAUAUCAGUAUUUACAGAAAAAAAAUACAUAUAUUUUUCUUUUUUUAAGUCUCAUUGGAGUAAAAAAAAUUCUCCAUGAAGAUUCUGCCCAUGGGAGAAUGCCACAUUCUGUGAGAGAUCAGCUUCCUUCAAGGGUUAAUGGAGACAAGAAACCAAACCAGGCAUAAGAUCCAACUCAGUGAAUUGACUGAGGAACGGCAAUGGGCUGGUUACCUGCACGAAACUCUAGCAAGACUGGACGAUCUCAAGGGGCCCCAUCCAAGACUAUGUCCCCCUAUGUCCCCCUAUGUCCCCCUAUUCCUUGAAGGGAGGAGAAUCAGCAAGUACAUUCCACCACACUCACCUCAUCGACAUCUGACCAGGCCAGUAUCUAGCAUAUCCUCAUGGACCUUCAUGGGUUUCUUUCUUUUUGCUAAACCACAAGGGUUCUGA
rnacentral:lncRNA from 1 species